CCAAGAAGGUCAUCAAAUAGUACUUGUGAGGAUGUGGUUGCAGGUACUUUCAGGAGAAGAGCACCAAUAUAACUUGUCUCUGUGUGCACAUAUAUUCCAGAGGACAAAGGAUCCUGUACCAGAAAUAGAACUGCAGGUGGAAAUGGCCUAUGAGGGUUGUAGCUCUUCUGGCCAUCCCCUCAGAAGUGCUUGCUGCUUCUCUCCUUAUCCUGUAGUCCAAGAAGUGUGCAGAGAGUUACCUCUACAUGGAGAUGCUGGUAAGUGUGCAUUCUUGCUGAGAAAACAAUUACAAGGAUAACUGCUCCCAGUGCUUUUGAUGCCCAUCUACCUUCUGGGCAGAGCCCCGUAACUGCUGAUGCUGUGGCAGCAUCCCAGGAUGCUUCGGAAGUGAUGGAUUGAGGCACACAUGUAAUGACCUGUUCCAGUCAGAAACUGAGACAGCCUGAAAAGGAGUUGCUGAGCAGAUCUAUAGAAUGAGACAUGUCGAACAGCUCAGUCCUAAGGCAUUUGCCAUGAAGACUGUGUGAAGCCAGUACUCUCCCUUAGCAGCUACCUCGAUUCUAGGAGAUGUUUCAUUUCAUCAGACAGCUUUCUCCACAACUGAACAAGCACAAACAAAAUGCUCCCAGGAAUGUUAAAAUCUCGUGCAAUUUAUGCCAGAACCAUGCAGUCUGUUGAUGUCAGAGCUGUGUGUAGGGACUUCAGUAUAAGCGAGAAUCAUGCCGCUGAUUAUUUCACUUAUGGCUCCUUUGGCAUUCCGGA